rnacentral:rRNA from 1 species
UACGGAGGGUGCAAGCGUUAAUCGGAAUUACUGGGCGUAAAGCGCGCGUAGGCGGAUAUAUAAGUCAGAUGUGAAAUCCCUGGGCUCAACCUAGGAACUGCAUUUGAAACUGUAUAUCUAGAGUGUGGUAGAGGUGAGUGGAAUUUCAGGUGUAGCGGUGAAAUGCGUAGAGAUCUGAAGGAACAUCAGUGGCGAAGGCGACUCACUGGGCCAUUACUGACGCUGAGGUGCGAAAGCGUGGGUAGCAAACAGGAUUAGAUACCCGGGUAGUCC